UACGUAGGGACCAAGCGUUGUCCGGAAUCAUUGGGCGUAAAGAGCGUGUAGGCGGCCAGGUAGGUCUGCUGUGAAAACUCGAGGCUUAACCUCGAGCUGUCGGCGGAAACCAUCUGGCUAGAGUCCGGAAGAGGAGAAUGGAAUUCCCGGUGUAGCGGUGAAAUGCGCAGAUAUCGGGAAGAACACCCGUGGCGAAGGCGGUUCUCUGGGACGGUACUGACGCUGAGACGCGAAAGCGUGGGGAGCGAACAGG
rnacentral:rRNA from 1 species